rnacentral:rRNA from 1 species
UCGAACGCGUCUUGGUUAUUGAUGUUAGAUGCUUGCAUUUAACUGAUUUCCCAUUGAGACGAGUGGCGAACUGGUGAGUAACACGUGGGUAACCUGCCCUUGAAGUAGGGGAUAACACUUGGAAACAGGUGCUAAUACCGUAUAACAACCAAAACCACCUGGUUUUGGUUUAAAAGAUGGCUUCGGCUAUCACUUUAGGAUGGACCCGCGGCGUAUUAGCUUGUUGGUAAGGUAACGGCCUACCAAGGCAAUGAUACGUAGCCGACCUGAGAGGGUAAUCGGCCACAUUGGGACUGAGACACGGCCCAAAUUCCUACGGGAGGCAGCAGUAGGGAAUCUUCCACAAUGGACGAAAGUCUGAUGGAGCAACGCCGCGUGAGUGAUGAAGGGUUUCGGCUCGUAAAACUCUGUUGUUGGAGAAGAACAGGUGUGAGAGUAACUGUUCACAUCUUGACGGUAUCCAACCAGAAAGCCACGGCUAACUACGUGCCAGCAGCCGCGGUAAUACGUAGGUGGCAAGCGUUGUCCGGAUUUAUUGGGCGUAAAGCGAGCGCAGGCGGUUUCUUAGGUCUGAUGUGAAAGCCUUCGGCUUAACCGGAGAAGUGCAUCGGAAACCAGGAGACUUGAGUGCAGAAGAGGACAGUGGAACUCCAUGUGUAGCGGUGAAAUGCGUAGAUAUAUGGAAGAACACCAGUGGCGAAGGCGGCUGUCUGGUCUGUAACUGACGCUGAGGCUCGAAAGCAUGGGUAGCGAACAGGAUUAGAUACCCUGGUAGUCCAUGCCGUAAACGAUGAGUGCUAAGUGUUGGAGGGUUUCCGCCCUUCAGUGCUGCAGCUAACGCAUU